UACGAAGGGUGCAAGCGUUACUCGGAAUUACUGGGCGUAAAGCGUGCGUAGGUGGUGAGUUAAGUCUGUCGUGAAAGCCCCGGGCUCAACCUGGGAAUGGCGAUGGAUACUGGCUCGCUAGAGUCCGGAAGAGGAGAGUGGAAUUCCUGGUGUAGCGGUGAAAUGCGCAGAUAUCAGGAAGAACACCUAUGGCGAAGGCAGCUCUCUGGGACGGUACUGACGCUGAGGUGCGAAAGCGUGGGGAGCAAACAGG
rnacentral:rRNA from 1 species